UACGUAGGGGGCAAGCGUUGUCCGGAAUCAUUGGGCGUAAAGCGCGUGUAGGCGGCUCGAUAAGUCUGCUGUGAAAGUUCAGGGCUCAACCCUGAAAUGCCGGUGGAAACUGUCGAGCUAGAGUACGGAAGAGGUGAGCGGAAUUCCUGGUGUAGCGGUGAAAUGCGCAGAUAUCAGGAGGAACACCAAUGGCGAAGGCAGCUCACUGGGACGUUACUGACGCUGAGACGCGAAAGCGUGGGGAGCAAACAGG
rnacentral:rRNA from 1 species